UGAGUAAGCCAAAUGAUCGCGGCUGCCUUAAAGGCAGACGAGGAAAGUCCGAGCUCCGCAGGGCAGGGUGCUGGGUAAUACCCAGUGGAGGCGACUCCAAGGAAAGUGCAACAGAAAAAUACCGCUUUCCGGAAGUCAGCUGACUUUCGGAGAGUAAGGGUGGAAAGGUGAGGUAAGAGCUCACCAGCAUCCAGGCGACUGGAAUGGCUAUGUAAACCCCAUCCGGAGCAAGACCUGGUAGGGGACAUUAAAGCGGCGGCCCGUCGCGUCCCGGGAAAGGUCGCUUGAGCCUGUUGGCAACAACAGGCCUAGACAGAUGAUCAUUCACGACAGAACUCGGCUUACGGCUUGUCUCACUUC
rnacentral:RNase_P_RNA from 1 species